rnacentral:rRNA from 1 species
GUAGGCCCACCCGCUGAACUUAAGCAUAUCAAUAA